rnacentral:rRNA from 1 species
UUGGAGGGCAAGUCUGGUGCCAGCAGCCGCGGUAAUUCCAGCUCCAAUAGCGUAUAUUAAAGUUGUUGCAGUUAAAAAGCUCGUAGUUGAAUUUCGGGGUCAGUAGGUUGGUCAUGCCACUGGUAUGUACUGGUCUCACUGAUUCCUCCUUCCUGAUGAACUGUAAUGCCAUUUAUUUGGUGUUGCAGGGAAUCUGGACUGUUACUUUGAAAAAAUUAGAGUGUUUAAAGCAGGCUAACGCCUGAAUACAUUAGCAUGGAAUAAUGAAAUAGGACGUUCGAUCCUAUUUUGUUGGUUUCUAGGAUUGACGUAAUGAUUAAUAGGGAUAGUUGGGGGCAUUAGUAUUCAAUUGUCAGAGGUGAAAUUCUUGGAUUUAUUGAAGACUAACUACUGCGAAAGCAUUUGCCAAGGAUGUUUUCAUUAAUCAAGAACGAAAGUUAGGGGAUCGAAGACGAUCAGAUACCGUCGUAGUCUUAACCAUAAACUAUGCCGACUAGGGAUCGGAUGAUGUUAAUUUUUUAAUGACUCAUUCGGCGCCUUACGGGAAAC